UACAGAGGUCUCAAGCGUUGUUCGGAUUCAUUGGGCGUAAAGGGUGUGUAGGUGGCGCGCUAAGUCGGGUGUGAAAUUUCGGAGCUUAACUCCGAAACUGCAUUCGAUACUGGCGUGCUUGAGGACUGGAGAGGAGACUGGAAUUCCCGGUGUAGCGGUGGAAUGCGCAGAUAUCGGGAGGAACACCAAUGGCGAAGGCAGCUCUCUGGGACGGUACUGACGCUGAGACGCGAAAGCGUGGGGAGCGAACAGG
rnacentral:rRNA from 1 species